GUUGGUGAGGUAACGGCCCACCAAGGCGACGAUCGGUAGCCGGACUGAGAGGUUGAACGGCCACAUUGGGACUGAGACACGGCCCAGACUCCUACGGGAGGCAGCAGUGGGGAAUAUUGCACAAUGGGGGAAACCCUGAUGCAGCGACGCCGCGUGGAGGAAGAAGGUCUUCGGAUUGUAAACUCCUGUUGUUGAGGAAGAUAAUGACGGUACUCAACAAGGAAGUGACGGCUAACUACGUGCCAGCAGCCGCGGUAAAACGUAGGUCACAAGCGUUGUCCGGAAUUACUGGGUGUAAAGGGAGCGCAGGCGGGAAGACAAGUUGGAAGUGAAAUCUAUGGGCUCAACCCAUAAACUGCUUUCAAAACUGUUUUUCUUGAGUAGUGCAGAGGUAGGCGGAAUUCCCGGUGUAGCGGUGGAAUGCGUAGAUAUCGGGAGGAACACCAGUGGCGAAGGCGGCCUACUGGGCACCAACUGACGCUGAGGCUCGAAAGUGUGGGUAGCAAACAGGAUUAGAUACCCUGGUAGUCCACACCGUAAACGAUGAUUACUAGGUGUUGGAGGAUUGACCCCUUCAGUGCCGCAGUUAACACAAUAAGUAAUCCACCUGGGGAGUACGACCGCAAGGUUGAAACUCAAAGGAAUUGACGGGGGCCCGCACAAGCAGUGGAGUAUGUGGUUUAAUUCGACGCAACGCGAAGAACCUUACCA
rnacentral:rRNA from 1 species